GAACGGUAGCACAGAGGAGCUUGCUCCUUGGGUGACGAGUGGCGGACGGGUGAGUAAUGUCUGGGAAACUGCCCGAUGGAGGGGGAUAACUACUGGAAACGGUAGCUAAUACCGCAUAACGUCUUCGGACCAAAGUGGGGGACCUUCGGGCCUCACACCAUCGGAUGUGCCCAGAUGGGAUUAGCUAGUAGGUGGGGUAAUGGCUCACCUAGGCGACGAUCCCUAGCUGGUCUGAGAGGAUGACCAGCCACACUGGAACUGAGACACGGUCCAGACUCCUACGGGAGGCAGCAGUGGGGAAUAUUGCACAAUGGGCGCAAGCCUGAUGCAGCCAUGCCGCGUGUAUGAAGAAGGCCUUCGGGUUGUAAAGUACUUUCAGCGAGGAGGAAGGCGGUAAGGUUAAUAACCUUGCCGAUUGACGUUACUCGCAGAAGAAGCACCGGCUAACUCCGUG
rnacentral:rRNA from 1 species